rnacentral:rRNA from 1 species
AGUGAACGCUGGCGGUAGGCCUAACACAUGCAAGUCGAACGGCAGCACAGUAAGAGCUUGCUCUUACGGGUGGCGAGUGGCGGACGGGUGAGGAAUACAUCGGAAUCUACUUUUUCGUGGGGGAUAACGUAGGGAAACUUACGCUAAUACCGCAUACGACCUACGGGUGAAAGCAGGGGAUCUUCGGACCUUGCGCGAUUGAAUGAGCCGAUGUCGGAUUAGCUAGUUGGCGGGGGAAAGGCCCACCAAGGCGACGAUCCGUAGCUGGUCUGAGAGGAUGAUCAGCCACCCUGGAACUGAGACACGGUCCAGACUCCUACGGGAGGCAGCAGUGGGGAAUAUUGGACAAUGGGCGCAAGCCUGAUCCAGCCAUACCGCGUGGGUGAAGAAGGCCUUCGGGUUGUAAAGCCCUUUUGUUGGGAAAGAAAAGCAGCAGGUUAAUACCCCGCUGUUCUGACGGUACCCAAAGAAUAAGCACCGGCUAACUUCGUG